AGCCUGUGAGAGAAAAUAUAAUAUAUAAAUAAAAAUAUUUGUUUGCGGAAAUUUUUGGUAUAGUUGAAAAGAAGAAUUAUCUGGAAACAAAGAACUUUCUCCACUCACAAAUCUACCUUAAGCUGUUGUGAAACUGUGCUAUCAUCUGGUGACGCUUUGUUUGUUGUCCUACUAUCACACGAUCACGUUCGACAAUCAACUUCAUAUAUGCGUCUAUAUCAACAAUUUUCAAGUAUCUAAAAGCUUUCGAGAUAAGGGCAAAUCGAACAUUGCCUUUUAUGGGGCGCAGCUAUGCCAAUUAUUUAGUUGGAUCUUUUUCUUUUCUUUUCUUCUCUCCUCUUCAUAAUAAACAUAAUUUCCAUAUGCUCACAUCCUUCUUCGUCAUAAAAUGUGUCUACGAAAUGUGACAAGCUUUGUACUCUUAUACAAUUCUUGAAUACGCGAAUGUAUCAACUGUACCCCACCCAAGACGCCUCUUCGAAUGGUUAUUUCUUCAUUUACAUUUUGUUUUGUCUAUCCAAAACAAAUUAUUUAUAAUAAUGUAACGCUUUUGAAAAUCUUGUGCUAAAAACAAACACAUUUUUCCCCAUCCAUUUUCUUUUGCGCCUCUUGCGCCCAUCUCUCAAUAAACAAACUUGGAACAUAGUGUGCAACCCUUGUGCCGCUAUAUGUACCUAUGUAUGUAUCUACCCACACAUUUGCGAAAAUUCGUAUGAUACAAACACACAUGUGUUGGAAUGGGAAUGGUACACAAAUACACAGACACAUAUACACAUGUAUAUAGUAACACUCAAAUACAUUAUUCAAAUUUGCCGGUAUAGAGUAGGUAAAACCCAAAUUACAGAUUCUCGUAAUGUAUUUAAUUAUAUAUUAAAAAAAAUUUAUAAUUAAAGUGUAUAUUUAUAAUUUCAAUCAAAUUAUAUUGGGUAAUGUAAGCCUUUCAUACAAUAUGUUCGCAAUAUAUGUACAUUAAAUUGAAAGUUUUGCAUACAUGUGCAAAACACACGUACAUACGUAUACAAAACCAUGUACACACACGUAAGUGAACAGAUGUACACAUUCAUGCAUAUAUACAUAUUGAUAAAUUUGGAAUUAAUAUUAUGAGCAUUACUCAGCCUACUCUGACUAAUGUCUGCACAUGUAUGUAUGUAUGCUUUCAAUACAUAGAUACAUAUACCAUACCAAGUAUUUAUAUUUCCGAACUCAUACAUAUGUACAUAUAAAUCUUUCUACUCUCGACGAAAAUGUAUGUACAUAUACAUCUAAAAAAAAAUAUUUUUAGUGCAUACUACUAAAAUACAUACAUAUAUGUAUAAAAAUACAUAUACUUUUUACAUAUUUAUGUCUAAAUGAAUCAUCGCUUUAUGUGCGAGUUGUAAGUAGUAUAUGUAAAUGAAAUUAUUACAAUAUAAAAAAAGUUUCUUUAGCAAUCGCGCUUACCAUUUUUUUGCUGCAAAAUGUGAGUACUUUUUACCAAAUUCGGAAACCAAUUGCAAUGUAUGUAUACGCUAAAACACAAUUACCGCUUAGCCUUCCGACCGCAAC